CCUACGGGAGGCUGCAGUGGGGAAUAUUGGACAAUGGGGGGAACCCUGAUCCAGCCAUGCCGCGUGUGUGAAGAAGGCCCUCGGGUUGUAAAGCACUUUCAGUGAGGAAGAACGCCUGGUGGUUAAUACCCAUCAGGAAAGACAUCACUCACAGAAGAAGCACCGGCUAACUCCGUGCCAGGAGCCGCGGUAAUACGGAGGGUGCGAGCGUUAAUCGGAAUUACUGGGCGUAAAGCGCGCGUAGGUGGCUUGAUAAGCCGGUUGUGAAAGCCCCGGGCUCAACCUGGGAACGGCAUCCGGAACUGUCAAGCUAGAGUGCAGGAGAGGAAGGUAGAAUUCCCGGUGUAGCGGUGAAAUGCGUAGAGAUCGGGAGGAAUACCAGUGGCGAAGGCGGCCUUCUGGACUGACACUGACACUGAGGUGCGAAAGCGUGGGUAGCAAACAGGAUUAGAUACCCCGGUAGUC
rnacentral:rRNA from 1 species